CGUUUGCCCACCUGAUCUCUUGAAAGACACCGGUAUUUUGAUGCCAUGGCUAACUGAUAAUGCAGUAAAUUGUAGGGUUGCACAAAUUGCAGCAGAGACCCAGAAUUGUAUAGCCUUGACGACUGACACAUUCCUUUUGUGGCAUAGAGACUGGCUUGCUUCAAAAACAGUUUCAGAUUCUCAUUUGAAAAUUCUUGAGUAUGAUGCACAGAAAAUUCGGUUUCCAAGAAUUGUUGGUGGCCAGACACCAGAGAGAGGAUGCCACUUCAUUCUUUGGGUUAGUUCAAAUCGAGGAGUGUUAAUCACAUGAUGUAGAAAUUUGAUAAUAAAGAGACUGUACAGUGAAGUUAAAAUUUUGUAAAUAAGUAAAUUUAU